rnacentral:rRNA from 1 species
AGACGUCUACAUUAGAUACCCCCGUAGUCCCAGCCGUAAACUAUGCGCGUUAGGUGUAUCGGUGACCACGAGUCACCGAGGUGCCGAAGGGAAACCGUGAAACGUGCCGCCUGGGAAGUACGGUCGCAAGGCUAGAAACUUAAAGGAAUUGGCGGGAGCACCACAACGGGUGGAGCCUGCGGUUUAAUUGGACUCAACGCCGGGAAGCUCACCGGAUAAGACAGCGGAAUGAUUGCCGGGCUGAAGACUCUGCAUGACUAGCUG